rnacentral:rRNA from 1 species
ACAUAAGACAUGCAAGUCGAACGGAAGUCGUUAUAACAGACGUGGAAUGAAGAUUUAUCGGAAUGAAGCAGAAGAUAUAACAAUGGCUUAGUGGCGGACUGGUGAGUAACACGUAAGUAACCUGGCUAUUAGAGGGGAAUAACAGUGAGAAAUCAUUGCUAAUACCGCAUAAGCUUGUAAUAUCGCAUGAUAUAGCAAGAAAAGGAGUAAUCCGCUAAUAGAUGGGCUUGCGGCUGAUUAGCUAGUUGGUUAGGUAACGGCUGACCAAGGCAACGAUCAGUAGCCGGGCUGAGAGGCUCAUCGGCCACAUUGGGACUGAGAUACGGCCCAGACUCCUACGGGAGGCAGCAGUCGGGAAUAUUGCGCAAUGGAGGAAACUCCUGACGCAGUGACGCCGCGUAUAGGAAGAAGGUUUUAGGAUUGUAAACUAUUUUAGACAGGGAAGAUAAAAGACGGUACCUGUAGAAUAAGCUCCGGCUAACUACGUGCCAGCCGCUGC